rnacentral:rRNA from 1 species
UCCGGGAGACAGACUGCGGGUGCUAACGUCCGUAGUCAAGAGGAAAACAAUCCAGACCGCCAGCUAAGGCCCCAAAAUCAUAGUUAAGUGGGAAACGAUGUGGGAAGGCAUAGACAGCUAGGAGGUUGGCUUAGAAGCAGCCACCCUUUAAAGAAAGCGUAAUAGCUCACUAGUCGAGUCGGCCUGCGCGGAAGAUGUAACGGGGCUAAAACUAUGUGCCGAAGCUGCGGAUUUGACAUUAGUCAAGUGGUAGGGGAGCGUUCUGUAAGCCGAUGAAGGUGUAUUGAGAAGUAUGCUGGAGGUAUCAGAAGUGCGAAUGCUGACGUGAGUAACGACAAAACGGGUGAAAAACCCGUUCGCCGAAAGACCAAGGGUUCCAGUCCAACGUUAAUCGGGGCUGGGUGAGUCGACCCCUAAGGCGAGGCCGAAAGGCGUAGUCGAUGGGAAAAUGGUUAAUAUUCCAUUACUUCUGUGUAAUGCGAUGAGAGGACGGAGAAGGCUAAAUCAGCCUGGCGUUGGUUGUCCAGGUGAAAGGAUGUAGGCAUGUAUCUUAGGCAAAUCCGGGGUACUCUAUGCUGAGAUCUGAUAGCAAGCUGUACUUGUACAGCGAAGUGGUUGAUGCCAUGCUUCCAGGAAAAGUCUCUAAGCUUCAGUUACACAGGAAUCGUACCCGAAACCGACACAGGUGGUCAGGUCGAGUAGACCAAGGCGCUUGAGAGAACUCUGCUGAAGGAACUAGGCAAAAUGGUACCGUAACUUCGGGAGAAGGUACGCUGUUGUUGGUGAUGGAACUCGCUUCCUGAGCUGACGACAGCCGCAGAAACCAGGCCGCUGCAACUGUUUAUUAAAAACAUAGCACUCUGCAAACACGAAAGUGGACGUAUAGGGUG